rnacentral:tRNA from 1 species
GGUCCUGUGGAGUAGUUGGUUAUCUCGCCACCCUCUCAAGGUGGAGAUCGCGGGUUCGAACCCCGUCAGGACUACAA